rnacentral:rRNA from 1 species
GACGAAAGUUUGAUGGAGCAACGCCGCUUGAAUGAAGAAGGGUUUCGGCUCGUAAAACUCUGUUGUUAAAGAAGAACAUAUCUGAGAGUAACUGUUCAGGUAUUGACGGUAUUUAACCAGAAAGCCACGGCUAACUACGUGCCAGCAGCCGCGGUAAUACGUAGGUGGCAAGCGUUGUCCGGAUUUAUUGGGCGUAAAGCGAGCGCAGGCGGUUUUUUAAGUCUGAUGUGAAAGCCUUCGGCUCAACCGAAGAAGUGCAUCGGAAACUGGGAAACUUGAGUGCAGAAGAGGACAGUGGAACUCCAUGUGUAGCGGUGAAAUGCGUAGAUAUAUGGAAGAACACCAGUGGCGAAGGCGGCUGUCUGGUCUGUAACUGACGCUGAGGCUCGAAAGUAUGGGUAGCAAACAGGAUUAGAUACCCUGGUAGUCCAUACCGUAAACGAUGAAUGCUAAGUGUUGGAGGGUUUCCGCCCUUCAGUGCUGCAGCUAACGCAUUAAGCAUUCCGCCUGGGGAGUACGGCCGCAAGGCUGAAACUCAAAGGAAUUGACGGGGGCCCGCACAAGCGGUGGAGCAUGUGGUUUAAUUCGAAGCUACGCGAAGAACCUUACCAGGUCUUGACAUACUAUGCAAAUCUAAGAGAUUAGACGUUCCCUUCGGGGACAUGGAUACAGGUGGUGCAUGGUUGUCGUCAGCUCGUGUCGUGAGAUGUUGGGUUAAGUCCCGCAACGAGCGCAACCCUUAUUAUCAGUUGCCAGCAUUAAGUUGGGCACUCUGGUGAGACUGCCGGUGACAAACCGGAGGAAGGUGGGGAUGACGUCAAAUCAUCAUGCCCCUUAUGACCUGGGCUACACACGUGCUACAAUGGAUGGUACAACGAGUUGCGAACUCGCGAGAGUAAGCUAAUCUCUUAAAGCCAUUCUCAGUUCGGAUUGUAGGCUGCAACUCGCCUACAUGAAGUCGGAAUCGCUAGUAAUCGCGGAUCAGCAUGCCGCGGU